ACCACCGAGCAAACCAUCAGAGAAGGCACCCAGCGAAGGGCUGUAUCUUUCAUCUUUGGAAAUGGACUGAAGAGAUAUUUAAUGUGUCAAGAGCUCUACUUCCGGGAGACCAAUAUUUCUUUUUUAUUCAGUUAUUUCAAGGAGGGCUCCCAGUAAAUUUUGCUUGGUAAGGAGAUUAAUUUCAGAGCCAUGGACUCCCGUAGGAUAUAUCCUGGAUGUUUACGUUGCAAAAACCCGGGGCAUUGUUAUUUAUUUCUUCUGUCAGAAAAGCAAGACAGCAAUAAACUACCGCUUAACUUGUAAAUCACAGAAGUGACUAACCUGAACGAAAGUAAUUUGAGGACAAAGGAAGAGGGAUUACUUAUUCUACUGUUAAGAACUGAUCUACAAAGAGAUGAUACGUUUUCUGAUCAUGCUUAGCUUCUCAAAUAAGUUAAUUCUUUUUUCUGGUCAUUCCUGGUGACUUAAGAGAUUAAAAUUAAUUUGGUUGCUGUUGGUUCUGAACAAAUAAUGAGUUCUUUUAUUUGAGGUAUGCCAUUUUGAAGACUGAGACGUUGGAGUUUUAUCCUAGAGGAUAAAGGAAAUCUUUGGGAAAGUCAGUAUUUUAUAUAGCAAAAAUAUGAACCUCAAACUGAAUCCUCUAAAGGCCCCAUACAAUGAAGUAGACAUUGGUGGAAACAUUUACACCCAGUCAGCUUGAAGAGUUUCAAAUGGACCCUACCACUGAGAAAUCAAGAUGGCAGUCUACUAUGGGGAAUUGAGGAAAAAUGGAUUAAUACAAGAGUCCUGUGAUAAUAUACAACCAAGACAGGGUUCUUUUAACAUGGAUUCCAUGCAGUGAAUGAAGACAUAGGUUUCUUACCCAACACAAAUGGACAGUGGAUUUGACUUUCUAAAGACUUUUUUUGUGGACAUUUUGACAUUUGGAGAAGAAAGAUGGCACACUAACCCAGAUAAUAGUUUUUAUGCCUGGAAUUUUUUGCAGUUUGAUUUGUAUGCGUAUGACCUCUUGAAAUGUUAAUUUUUAAUAAAAUUUGUAACACUUAAAAAUUUCUCAGUUUGGGUUUUUUUUUUUAAGUGGAAGUUUAAUUAAAUGUUUAGUUUUAUUUUAGUAAUACUUUGGCCUUUGUAGUUGCCGAGUGGUAAAGUGUACUGAAUAUGAAUAAAGCUGGUAAAUUGGAAAUGGUGUAAUCGAAAACAUUUUACUUGGUUUAUGAAGAUUUACGUUUUUCACAAAGUUGUGCUCUUAGAUGGUCAUUUGGUUUAAAUACUGUUUUGUUUGUGCUUUCAUGAAACACCUUUCAAAACAACUCAAUGGGUAAUAAUAGAAUCUGAUUUUAAUCUGCCACAAGAUUUUAAUGAACUUGAAACAAACUGCUUGUUGCUCGAAAAUUCAGGAUGAGUGAUACACAUAUACUUCUGAAUUAUUUUGUGUUGAUUGAAAUGGUUUCUUAAGCUUUUUAAUACUAUAAAUACAUCUUGCUAUAGAAUAUUCAUCUGAAUAUUUAAAUUAAUGUCUCCUAUUGUCUUACUAUUAGAGGAAGAAGUGUUGGAUUUAUGGGUUAGGGUCCUUGGAGUAUUCACAAUUUUUUAAAUUUGAAAUUAUGUGUGUAAUCCAUUUUAUAUAACUUUGAAGUAGGAUUAAUAUCUUGUAUCGUCUUUAUUUUGUACAAUUGGGGAUUUAGAAUAAAUGAAUUGCACCCU
ensembl:lncRNA CHASERR CHD2 adjacent suppressive regulatory RNA